rnacentral:rRNA from 1 species
UACGAAGGGUCCUAGCGUUGUUCGGAAUCAUUGGGCGUAAAGCGGGUGUAGGCGGCCAAUUAAGUCAGAAGUGAAAGCCCUGGGCUCAACCCGGGAAGUGCUUUUGAAACUGAUUGGCUUGAGUGUGGGAGAGGAUAGUAGAAUUCCUGGUGUAGUGGUGAAAUACGUAGAUAUCAGGAGGAAUACCGGUGGCGAAGGCGGCUAUCUGGCCCAACACUGACGCUCAGACCCGAAAGCGUGGGGAGCAAAC